CGAGUCUAGUAUUGUAAUUUCAAUAUCCCCAAUGCUUUAGGGUUCUAGAGAAACUAGUAUAUAAGCAGGUGCUUAACUGGUCGCAACUUGGUACUUUCCAUGCCUCCAAGCGGAACUCUGUCACGCACUGUUCCUCAGUUUCUCUGUCUCGCUACUUUUUAUUUUCCUCUGCAAGCAAAGAAUCUCUAACAAGUUCGAAGAAAUUGAAAAUCUUUCCAUUUUUGGAGAGCUUAGAUAAUGUAAUGUGCAGCUUUUUUUUUCUCUAGUUAAAAGAAAUCUCUGAGCUAACAAUGUCGGUUGUUUUAAUGGCUCUUUACCUGAGUCAGCAGCGGGCGCUGAUUAAUGGCGAUCUGUCUGCCGCAUAGAGCCAAAAUUAAAUGUUUUUUGGCCGGAAGAAGAUCCUUGAAACUCACCGUUGUUUCAGGUCACAAUAUUCCGGCUAUAUUUCGGUCUUUUUUUUUUUUAUCAAUAUGAGCUUCUCGUUUAGAUAUAAGCUUAUAGCCAUUUUUGUGUAAUAAAGAUGAAGAUGGCACUCAGUCAGACACGGGUGUUUGAGAUAAUUUAAUACCAAUUCACCUUUUGCAUGGUGCCUAAAUAGAGCUGCUUUUCACGAUUGGAAGUAUGGUGCAAGCCAGAUGGUAGCUUUUGAAGCUGAAGAAUCUGUAGCAGGACCCGGAGUCGAUUGAAUUGUAGCGGGGAAGGGAAUUUCUGAAAAAAAAAACCCUUGUUUUUAUUUUUUAAUCCAACUAUGAGUUUACGAGAAUAUUUUUGUUAGCUUUAAAUUGAUUGUGAGUAGAUAAUUCUUAGUGGCUCUGAUUUGAAACUUUCAUGUAUGCAGAAAUUGAUUAAUGAAGUGUCAAAAAUUUGGAUCUAAUUUGUAACUUUUGGUCCUUAAUUCAGUCUAAUUGCUAAUAUUUUGGAACUA